rnacentral:lncRNA from 1 species
CAUAAUUAGUUGGUAGUUGAGCUUGCCAUUGAAGUAUCUAUUUUGAGUCCUUAAAAUUUAGAAGCCUUCUUUAUUAGAAACUUUUGUUAAAGAAGUUUAUAUAGACUUUAAGUUUCUAAUUUAAAAGAGAAAAGGCAGAAGUUUCCAUUUUUUUUUUCUAAUUUUAUUAUUUUAAAGAAGAUUUAGGAGUUUUAGAAAGAUAAAGAGUCUUAAUGAGUUAGUAUAUAUGUUCACUUUUUUUUUUUUAAUAGUUUUAUUCAAUUUUUAGGUUUCCAUGGUUCACAAGACUAGUUGAUGUAAAAUGAGAUACAUGAUUGGCAAUGAAAUAAUAUUAAGUUUUGCAUACUUUACAAUCUUUAAUAGUAAGAUUCUUAGAAGGUCUUAGUGAGACUCUAAGGUUUUUAUCUUUUCUUUUUUAUUUUUUUCCUAUAUUUAAUUUUACUUUUCCUUGUUGCUAUAAAAUUUAUUCCUUGUUCCUCUCCAUAAAUCUUAAAAGAUUGAAGUUUUAGCCUACCUAUUUGAUUGUAGACAACUAUUUGAGGGUUUUUUUUUUUCAUCAAGCUUAUUAUUGUUGUCAUCUGAUAGAUAGUUAGAAUAGUGGAUUGUCAAACGGGUUGAACCAGAAACUUGCAUGCUUGAAAUAUAUUGGACAAACAACUUUCCUAAAAACUUAAGUUUGUAGGAUUUAGACCCUGCAAUGUAUAACAUGUACUUUAACACCCUCUCUUACAUGCAACCUAUAUACUUGCACAUGGAGAGACAUAGGCUCACAAAUAAACAAACCAUAAAAACCCUCCUUUGGGCUUAUACAUGGGCUUAAUUAAGUGGGAAAAUAAAUAUGCGAUAAAUUUCGACCACAUGACCUCAUGCCAAAUGAAGCUUUGCUACCAUAUUGGACAACCAACUUUCCUAAAAGUUUAAAUUUGUAGGAUUUGGGACCACAAUGUUGUGGAAAGUCAACCUUCAAUUUUUUUAUUUUCUUAUUGGAUUUACUUAUUUGAUUCUAGGCUGAUUGAUUAACUAUAUUUAGAUAGGUUCCUAGUUUGCCUUUUUAUUUAUUUAUUUAUUGUUUUCUCCAUUUUUUUCUCCUUGAUUUCUAAUUGUAAUUUAGGAAUGUUAUUGUUGUAAAUCUUCCUUCCCUAGGUUGUUCCCAUUGUAUAUAAGUGAUCCACUAUAUAAUUUUGAGGAGAUACAAAAUUAUAUUCAGAAUUUGCAUAUGUUAUUAGAGCUGUAUUAGAGUUUAUUGGUAUGCUCUUAGGGAUAACUGAUCACAUGAUUAGUGUGUUUGUUUUCUACUUAUUUCACUUAUUUGGGCAUGCAAAAAGUUAAAUUUGCUAAUGAGUCUUUUUCUUCUAUUGCUGGAAAGGGUUCUAUUACUAUUUCUAAACACCUAGUCCUAAAUCCAGUCAUACAUGUUCCUUAGCUAGCUUGCACUCUUCUUUCAAUUAGCAAAUUGACAAAGGAUCUUAAUUGUGGGGCUAAAUUUUUUCCUACUCAUUGUGAAUUUCCGGACCUAUGUAUAGGGAAAAAAAUUGGCAAUGCUAGAGAGGUAGGUAGAGGGACUCUAUUACUUUGAGGAGGACCUAGAUAUGUCAGUAUGCUUAUCCUAAUCUACUCAUGUUGGUGCCUCUUUGUCCUAUGAGGAUGAAAUUAAAUUAUAGCAUUAUUGAUUAGGACAUCUAAGUUUUCUUUAUUUCAAGGUUUUAUACCCAACUUUAUUUAGGAAUAAAAAGGUUAUUGACUUUCACUGUAAAAUAUGUGAAUUGUCCAAGCAUCAUCUCACUCAUUUUCCUAUCCAAACCUACAAACAAUCAGUCUUUUUCACUUGUACAUAGUGACAUUUGGGGUCCUUCACGUAUUCCAAAUGUAUUGGAGGCUAAGUGGUUUCUUACUUUUAUGGAUGACUGUACCCAUGUAUGUUGGGUCAACCUUUUUAAAGAAAUAUUUGAAACAACUAGACUGUUCCAAACCUCACAUAGAAUGAUUCAAAACCCAUUUCCAGCGAAACUUCAGGUUUUUUGAACAAAUAAUGGAGUAGAGUUUUUUAUCUUCUACCUUGGGUACCUACUUGAGUGGGAAUAAGAUUUUUCAUCAAACAUCUUGUGUUUAUACCCCUCAACAAAAUGGAAUAGCUGAGAGGAAAUAUAGACAUUUGCUUGAUACUGCUCGGGUUUUGUUAUUUACCAUGGGAAUGCCCAAAUAUUUGUGGGGAAAAGCUAUCUUAACAGCUUGUUAUCUCAUCGAUAGAAUGCCUACCGAGGUCCUCAAUUUUAAUUCACCUUUGGACUGUCUAAAAAUGAUUCUUCCAGCUUCUCACUUGUCAACCCCCUUCCACUAAAAGUUUUCGGUUGCACUACAUGUGUUAAUAUCAACAAAUAUAAUUAAAGCAAGCUUGAUCCUAGGUCACUUUAAUGUGUUUUCCUUGGCUAUUCUCCUACUAAAAAAAGGGUAUAAAUAUUUUCAUCCUCCUACUAAGAAGUUUUUUGCUACUAUGGAUUACACUUUCUUUGAGUCACAACCCUGUUUUACCAAAUUUCUCUUCAUGAGGAGAGCAAGAGAGUGGUAGAGCAUAUUUGGGAUGAUGAUCCUAUACCUAUAUUGCAACCACCUUCUACCUUACCUAUAACUGAAAUUAACUGCAAAAAAAUCUAAGCUGAUGAUCAACUGGGUGUGGGGGAGAAGGAAACUGAAAUUGAAAAGCCUCAUGAGCUGCAGGUGUGUUCUCGCAAAGGUAAGUUUAAGAAAAAUUGUCAAUCUUUGGAUCCAAACAUAAUGCCUCUUGAAAAUAUAGGUAACUCUGAACCUUGUCUUACUCCAUUUGUUAUUUCUUCUUAAUCUUGCUUUAUUAAUCCCAUUAAUCUAGUCUUAGAUCUUGAUUUGCCUAUUGCUUUUAGGGAAGGUAUUAAAUCUUGCACACAACACCCUAUAAGCAACUUCAUUUCUUAUUAUAGACUAAACCCCUCUUUUAAAGCCUUUACUACUAAUCUUUCAAUUAUGUAUAUUUCUAAAACUAUAAAAGAGGCUCUUAUUGUUCCAAGGUGGAGAGAGGUGAUGAAGGAGGAGAAGAGAGCCUUUGAUAAAAAUGAUAGUUGGGAGCUAGUGAAUAAUCCUUCUGAAAAGAGACCUAUUGGAUGUAAAUGAGUGUUUAACAUGAAGUAUAGGGCAGUUGGAUUAAUCAAAAGAUACAAGUCAAGACUUGAGGUGAAAUUUUUUACACAAACUCAUGGAAUUAACAAUCAAGAGACUUUUGCCCUAGUUGCUAAGAUGAAUUCAAUCAGGGUAGUGUUAUCUCUUGCUGCAAGUUUGGAAUGAUCGCUACUUUAGUUGGAUGUAAAAAAUGCAAUUCUGCACGGUGAAUUGGAGGAAGAAGUGUAUAUGGAUCUUCCCACCUGGUUUUGAAGAGAUGUAUGGAAAUGAAAAGAUUUGCAAGCUUAAAAAAUCCCUUUAUGGCCUCAAGCGAUUACCUAGAGCCUGGUUUGAAAGAUACACACGAUCUCUUCUCAAAUAUGGGUAAUGUUAUAUCUGACCAACCAAAAAUGGCCAUAGUGUAUAUAGAUGAUAUCGUCUUGAUCAGCAGCGAUAUGCAUGAAAUGGAAAAUCUGAAACAGCUUAUGGCUAAAGAGUUUGAGAUUAAAGGAUCUUGAGACAUUGAGGUAUUUUUGUUCUGAUUCAUAAUUUUUAAGUUGUUCAGCAUUAUUAGAAAUUGUGAACCAAAGUUCAGCAUAAUUUUAAGUUGUUCAGUUUGAGUUUAGGUAGGAUAUAUAUGGAAAAGAAUUAUUCAUUUGUUGCCUGUUAGAUUUAUAUAGGUUACAGCAUGAAGAGCUGAAUAUCAUUCUUCUAAAAUACGAUGUUUCUGUGUUUUCUAGUAUUUAGGGAAUAUGCCUCGUAACAUGACUUUUGAUUUAAUGCCCAAGUUCAAAUCAGGUCACAGAUCAUGCAAUAAGCUGAAAACACUUGUGUUUAUAGACGUACAACUUGCAAAACCAAACAGUUCACAUUUUUUAUAGAUCUUUGGAUUUUGAUUUUUUGAUUCAUAUUUGUUAAGUUUCACGGUUUUUCUACCAAUUUUGAACCAAUGAUCAAGUUUUACAGUAUAAUGAUGAAAAAACAUGUAUCUUCUAUCCUCCAAAUUUCAGAACACAAUUUUAUUUUUUAGCAGCUGGAACUGGAUGCUAAUCUUUUUUACUUGGUGAAUCUGCCUUUUGCUAUGGACUGUUAGUUUGAUUCCAAAGUUCAAGUGAGAUCAGUCAAUAAAAAAUUGAUUGUGUUGAUAUGUUAUUACUCAACUGUAUCAGUGCAUCAAUCCUCUACUUAGCCUACUUAAUAUCUAGGGUUAAAGAGUAAAAAUUAGGUUCCUUUUGUUGAGGUUACAUGAGAUUUGCAACAUUUCUUUCUUGGUUGUCUAUUCUGCAGUAAUAUAUUAUUAUUUGAUGAUUGACAUAUUCUAAUUAUCUGUUUCUAAUUAAAAAAGGAAAGGGAAUUCUUACAGGUGUACUUUGUUUGCUAGAAUUUGUGUGGUUUCAAACACAGCUUAUUUGAUGGUGUGUGGUUUCAAAAACAUCCUAUUAUUUGAUGAUGCCUGACUACUAUAUCAUGUGUUAAAUUUGCUUGGAGUUUUAGGAUAUUAUCAUAUUAUGAUGAGAUUUCUAGUGGAUAAUGAAAUUGACCUAGGAUUGAAAGCCUUGAGUCAAAUUUUAACUUCAUUUAUAUGUAAUGCUCUGACAGGAUUAGUGCUUUUAACCCCCCUCCAGCCCGUGUAUUUGGUUGUCGGGUGCUUGAGUUGAAGGAACAGGGAGUCAGUGAGGAAGAGGCCAUGGCUGUAGCCGAUGUAUGUAUUUCAUUUUUACCAGGUUCUUGAGUCAAAUUUUCUCAGGAACAUAAGUUUGUCUUAUUUUUGUUUGUGUUUUCUUCUGUCUCCUCCUUUCUCCAAAUUUAACCAGCCUUUUACUCUGGUGUUUAGA